rnacentral:rRNA from 1 species
UACGGAGGGAGCUAGCGUUGUUCGGAUAUACUGGGCGUAAAGAGCUCGUAGGCGGUCUGUCGCGUCGAAUGUGAAAACCCGGGGCUCAACUCCGGGCUUGCAUUCGAUACGGGCAGGCUAGAGUUCGGUAGGGGAGACUGGAAUUCCUGGUGUAGCGGUGAAAUGCGCAGAUAUCAGGAGGAACACCGGUGGCGAAGGCGGGUCUCUGGGCCGAUACUGACGCUGAGGAGCGAAAGCGUGGGGAGCAAACAGG